AGCAGCCGCGGUAAUUCCAGCUCCAAUAGCGUAUAUUAAAGUUGUUGCAGUUAAAAAGCUCGUAGUUGAAUUUCGGGGUUCUACCGUUGGUCGGGCUUUGUCUGUACUGGCGUGUAGAAUUUCUACCUUCUGGGGAACCAUCAUGUUAUUAAUUUAACGUGGUGGGAAACCAGGACCUUUACCUUGAAAAAAUUAGAGUGUUCAAAGCAGGCUUAUGUCUGAAUACAUUAGCAUGGAAUAAUGAAAUAGGACGUUCGAUCCUAUUUUGUUGGUUUCUAGGAUUGACGUAAUGAUUAAUAGGGAUAGUUGGGGGCAUUAGUAUUCAAUUGUCAGAGGUGAAAUUCUUGGAUUUAU
rnacentral:rRNA from 1 species